ACUAUUUAACAAUUGGAGCCUGAGUUUGAUUCCACCCCCCUUUCCUCUCUGUCCCUUUUCCAUUGUGUCGUGUUUUUUAGAUUGUAGGCAGGCUGUUCUGGGAGCCUUUUUAGCUGAAGCCUGGGUUACAAAUGCUUUAAAUAAAUAAUACUUCAAUAAGUUUAACACAGGGGAAGCAAAGAGGAAGUAUAAACUACAGGCCACCUGAAGUUUAAAAGCUCUGCAAGUACUGUAGAAUAAUCCCUAGCUUUAUUGAGGACAGACUGGUGGAUUCAUAUGGCUGUUCCCUCAUUUGAGACUGCUACAGGUCCAUAAAAGUACACGAAGAAGCAUGGAAGGUCUACAACAUUCCUUGUGAUAAUAAUUCAGUAUGGCAGGCUUGGAAUAAAGAUUCCAGGUUUAAAAUCAGAUGAAGAUGCAGGGGGAAAAUCAGGUUUUUUUCUCAUUUCAUCCAGAAGGUGGCAACAUAUCAUGACUUUUCUUCCAUUGAAGUGAAGAGGAUAUAUAACAAAAUAUAGAAUCUCUCAUGCUGAAAUUAAUACCAAUACAGUGGUUCCAUAUGAAUAAUAGCUGAUUUUAAAAUAUAUUUCUUAAUAUAUAUAAUCUUUGAAAGUCUGCGAUGGCAGUUACAUGGUUACAAAUAUUAGUCCUUAUCUCCUGUGGUCAAAAUAAGGACUGUAAUUUUAGUUUUAUUUAGACCUAAUCACCAUAAUCAGGGUGCACAAUCUGCACAUUCCUCCUUCACUCCUUCCUUCCUACUUAGUGGUGAAACUAGUGACUGACUUAGUACAGUAGCACCUUGGUUUGCAACCGUUUUGGAUUACAACCACGUCAAACCCUGAAGUGUGUGUCCCUUUUAUUGGAUUACAACCCAUUUUGGGGUGGA